CGGGAUGUGGCUCAGCUUGGUAGAGCGCUGCGUUCGGGACGCAGAGGUCGUGGGUUCGAAUCCCGCCAUCCCGACCA
rnacentral:tRNA from 10 species